rnacentral:rRNA from 1 species
GAUGAACGCUGGCGGCGUGCCUAAUACAUGCAAGUCGAGCGAACAGACGAGGAGCUUGCUCCUCUGACGUUAGCGGCGGACGGGUGAGUAACACGUGGAUAACCUACCUAUAAGACUGGGAUAACUUCGGGAAACCGGAGCUAAUACCGGAUAAUAUAUUGAACCGCAUUGUUCAAUAGUGAAAGACGGUUUUGCUUUCACUUAUAGAUGGAUCCGCGCCUCAUUAGCUAGUUGGUAAGGUAACGGCUUACCAAGGCAACGAUGCGUAGCCGACCUGAGAGGGUGAUCGGCAACACUGGAACUGAGACACGGUCCAGACUCCUACGGGAGGAAGCAGUAGGGAAUCUUCCGCAAUGGGCGAAAGCCUGACGGAGCAACGCCGCGUGAGUGAUGAAGGUCUUCGGAUCGUAAAACUCUGUUAUUAGGGAAGAACAAAUGUGUAAGUAACUAUGCACGUAUUGACGGUACCUAAUCAGAAAGCCACGGCUAACUACGUG